rnacentral:rRNA from 1 species
GAGGAAAAGUAACUAACAAGGAUUCCCCUAGUAACUGCGAGUGAAGCGGGAAAAGCUCAAAUUUAUAAUCCUCACGGAGUUGUAAUCUAGAGACGAGUCUUCGGCCAUUGACUCGGACAAGUUCCUUGGAACAGGACGUCAUAGAGGGUGAGAAUCCCGUACUUGCCGAGCUCCCAAUGUCUAUGUGAUGCACGCUCAAAGAGUCGAGUUGUUUGGGAAUGCAGCUCAAAACGGGUGGUAAACUCCAUCUAAAGCUAAAUAUUGGCGAGAGACCGAUAGCGAACAAGUACCGUGAGGGAAAGAUGAAAAGCACUUUGGAAAGAGAGUUAAACAGUACGUGAAAUUGCUAAAAGGGAAGCGCUUGAAGUCAGUCGCGUUGGAGAGACUCAACCUCACGGUGCAUUUCUCUUCGACGGGCCAGCAUCAGUUUCUGCCGCGGGAAAAGGGCUCGAGGAAUGUGGCAGCUCCGGCUGUGUUAUAGCCUCGUGUCGUACACCGCGGCGGGGACUGAGGACCGCUGACAGGAUGCUGGCGUAAUGGC